CAGCCGCCGCGGUAACACGGAGGGUGCAAGCGUUAAUCGGAAUUACUGGGCGUAAAGCGUGCGUAGGCGGUUUGUUAAGUCUGUUGUGAAAUCCCCGGGCUCAACCUGGGAAUGGCAAUGGAUACUGGCAAGCUAGAGUGUGUCAGAGGAUGGUGGAAUUCCCGGUGUAGCGGUGAAAUGCGUAGAGAUCGGGAGGAACAUCAGUGGCGAAGGCGGCCAUCUGGGACAACACUGACGCUGAGGCACGAAAGCGUGGGGAGCAAACAGGAUUAGAUACCCGCGUAGUCCCUGUCUCUUAUAC
rnacentral:rRNA from 1 species